AGAGUUUGAUCAUGGCUCAGAGCGAACGCUGGCGGCAGGCCUAACACAUGCAAGUCGAGCGCCGUAGCAAUACGGAGCGGCAGACGGGAGAGUAACACGUGGGAACGUGCCCUUCAGUUCGGAACAACCCAGGGAAACUUGGGCUAAUACCGGAUACGUCCGUAAGGAGAAAGAUUUAUCGCUGAAGGAUCGGCCCGCGUCUGAUUAGCUAGUUGGUGAGGUAACGGCUCACCAAGGCGACGAUCAGUAGCUGGUCUGAGAGGAUGAUCAGCCUCACUGGGACUGAGACACGGCCCAGACUCCUACGGGAGGCAGCAGUGGGGAAUAUUGGACAAUGGGCGCAAGCCUGAUCCAGCCAUGCCGCGUGGAUGAUGAAGGCCCUAGGGUUGUAAAGUCCUUUCGGCGGGGAAGAUAAUGACGGUACCCGCAGAAGAAGCCCCGGCUAACUUCGUGCCAGCAGCCGCGGUAAUACGAAGGGGGCUAGCGUUGCUCGGAAUCACUGGGCGUAAAGCGCACGUAGGCGGCUUUUUAAGUCAGGGGUGAAAUCCUGGAGCUCAACUCCAGAACUGCCUUUGAUACUGAGAAGCUUGAGUCCGGGAGAGGUGAGUGGAACUGCGAGUGUAGAGGUGAAAUUCGUAGAUAUUCGCAAGAACACCAGUGGCGAAGGCGGCUCACUGGCCCGGUACUGACGCUGAGGUGCGAAAGCGUGGGGAGCAAACAGGAUUAGAUACCCCGGUAGUCC
rnacentral:rRNA from 1 species